GCCCCCGUAGUUCAAUGGAUAGAACUAUGGUUUCCGGUACCAUCAAUCCGAGUUCGACUCUCGGCGGGGGCG
rnacentral:tRNA from 1 species